rnacentral:lncRNA from 1 species
GGGAGAGGAAACCAGGAGAACUCAGUGGGUCACGAGGCUGAUGAAGCUUUUUAAUCAAAUAUUUUGGCUAUCACAAGAAUUUUAAUCACCCAGUUAGGAAAAUUUGGGGGUUUUUUUUUGCUGCCUGGAGCCUGUGGGGCUGGAGCAGGGCUGGAGAGCUCCGGGCCCAUCCAGCAGCAGAGGGUGCUCACGCACUGCUGUGCAAAUCCUCCUUCUCCCUCAGCCAUUUUAGGGAAUUAUUUCCUUUCCCUGCAGUCUCCAUUUUAUGUUCCUGACGCAGAAAAUAAAAAAGAUGCACUCAGGCUGCCCUCUGGGAUGGAUGAUGAUUCUGGCCUUGCUGAUUCAUCCAGCCCUGGCUGAGGAUCUUUCUGGAAGCAUCUCCCGUGCCCAGUUUUUUUUCCUCCAGUGUCUGCUGAGAACUUGAAGAAAAUCUUACACGGGGUGAGAGGACGGAUCACAGUGGAAUAUUCUGAACUUCCCAGCCGACACAGAUAAGAUAAGAGUGACAAAUCUGUGGGGGGAAAAAUUGACAAUAUCCUUUUGCUUUUAUGGAGAAGAAGGUUUCAAAGAGGAUGUGAGCUGUGGCAAAAGGAGGCCGUUUCCCCUUGCCCACCCUUCCCACAGGAGGUGAAAAUGUCACCCCAGCACUGAGCAGAUUAGGCUGGGCUCACCUUUGAGCUGCUCUGGGCAGCUGUGCCAGGCCCUCACCGCCCUCCCAGGCAAGAAUUUCUUCCCAAAAUCCACUUCCAGCUGCCCUGCCACGACCAGGGGCAUCUUUAACCAGAGCAGAUUUCUCAGAGCCCCAUUGCUCAGCCCUCCCAUGCUCCUCACUCCCCCUCCCAAAGAGGACUGAGCCCCUUUUGUGUGGUU